GGAGUGCAAGUAAUGCUGCAGUGAAGAGACAUGUUUUGGAGGCCCAGAAGAAAGAGAAAAAAGGUUGGAUUUGGAAGUAGGACUGGGUGUAGUAAGGCUAGCUGUGGACCAGGUGUGCUCAGACAAUCCUGCUCAGAGAGGCAGGACUGAGAGAUGGAGGGAAAUUUGAAGCUGUGGUGUAAAUGGGGAAGAAAUGGCAACAGCAGAAGAAGGUUUCUUUCUCCUCCUGCACAGUAAGGCAGACAUCAUCCCAUGUCUGGAUCACAGCACUUUGUGUGCUCCCACAGGGUAGCCUAUGUUUCCUCCUAUAUUUUUGAGAGGAUCGGCUGUCUCCCACCAGGGGGGGGGGAUGAAACAGGCAUUAUUCUUCUUCUUGUUGAGUGGUCGCCAGUAAAAUCACCCUGCAGGCUCCAUGAAAGCAAAUAAAGCAGCACUCAUCUAGGUACUCGUGCGGCUCAUCCUACUCCUCAAUGCAUCCAAGAUCUUCUGAGAUAAACAGCCAGACCAGAAAGUGAUAUGGACCACAAAAGUAAAAUUAAGGCAGAGAGAAGCUUCCAGUAAGUCAUUACUGUGCAGUCAUUACCCUUUUUUUCACCCAUACAACAACUGUUUCCAUGGAGACUGGAGCAAACCAGUGCUAGGAGAGUGCUAUCUGCUGGUUCCUGUUUCCACAGAAACAUGAGCACUGGAUUACCAGAAAUGAAGUUACUGUUGCCCAGUCAGACUAACCAAGCGGCAGCACUCAGGAACAAGUUUCCUCCCAAUUUUGUGCUCAGGUGGUCAGUUACAGCAAGUCUCAGAGUGUCAGAGAAGAUACCAUAACUCUUGCACAGAUGUGGUGUGCUAAACCCGGAACGCUACAAGCAAAUCUGAAGGCUGUGGUGGGGGCUCACCGAACCCAAGACACCACGCAUUGCAAACCAGAAAACAUCAGUGGUGUAAUGUGGCUAGUAAUAAAUGUUGCAAGGAACAAGGGCUGAUUUCUGUGCAGUCAGAUCCUGCCCUAUGAGUGCAGUUUGGGGUCACUGUUGGUAUGAUGUGAGAAUGGGUGUAAUUGCCUUUUGUGCAUACUUAACAUACAUGUGCAGUUGGUGAGGCCAGUCAAUCUAAAUACUUCAGGGAUUUCCCCCAGCCAUAUGUUUUUUCUAGAAUCUAGAAUAGCUAGGGGGUAAGCUGCUCAGUAUUGAGACUGUGGGUGAUUUUUGAAGGCUAAGCAAAUCACCUGCUUAUAUGAUCAGUGUUUGCUGCAAUUAAAAACCUCUUCCUGUGCCUGGUAUAACUGCUUGUCUUGCUUCUUGACAGAAGAACAGCUUGAAUUUCGGAAAUAGUCACUUGGCUAAUGUGAACUUUAAGCUGGAUAAUUUUGGGAAUAAAAUGUAGUGCACAGUGUUUUCAGAGGCAGUCAGAGACAGUCUUUGUUUAGAUGAAAAAAAACACCAAAACCGAACCACUUUGACUUAAUUUCUUACCAGUCUUUAUAAAAAUUGUUUUAUGUCUAAUGGGUAGCUGGUAGAAACAUUAGUCCUCUACACAUCUAUAAAUAGAGAAGACUUCCUGUGUCACUUUUCAGAAGGUUCUGUACACUGACAUUUGUUGAUUCUAUCUGGAAAACACACAUUUUCGGCUGCAAUUACUCUGCUCUUCAGACAAAUGCAAAGAAUAAUGCUCCUGGCACAGCAGAUUACUGGAGAUUGAAGGCCUGAGAAACAACAUCCACUCCACCUGACAUUGUCUUCCAACAAGAUAUACAACUUGAUCCAAUUGUAUUUCUUCAGGAAUAUUAAUAAUAAGAAAAGAUUUAUUUUGAAUUUGGACAUCUGUUUUUAAUGUGCAGGAUUUUUGUUAGUGGCCUUUAAGUUCAUUUUGAGAUAAAACUUAUCUUGCAAGUCUGUUCCUUGCUUUCAAAACUCCGUUUACUAUCACAAUAAGAUCAGGUAUUUUACAAUUCAUUCCAGAGACGAAGGCCAGAUGAAACAUCCAGCGCAAUCUGCUGCAAGAAGAGAUGAUAUGCUUUCAUCUGUUACUGUGUAUUAGAACCAUAACCUUGUGGAACAAGCAUUCCACACCCUCCCCCUUUCCCCCCCCCUCCACUGAAAAAUACCUUUAGAAGGCAGAAAUAGGAACCUACUACUUUCAGGAAUGUCUUGUCCUAAUGGUUAAUCAUCCUUGCUAUUACAAAUUGAUCUCUGUUUUUAAUUUGUCU